UGUUCCUAGCAAUAAAGCCGAAACUAAGACAUUGGCCUAGUAAUUCUUUUACUCUCACUGUGUCAUAGCUAUUACUAGUCCCUGAACGGAAGCAUGAGUUAUAAAUACUGUUUUCUUCCUUCCUUCCUUCCUAUUUUUUGGAAACAGAGUCUCAGCCCUGGCUGGCCUGGAAUUCACAGAGAUCUGUCUGCCAUCUUUCCUUCUGAGUGCUGGGAUUAAAGGACAGACACCAUCAUUAAAUUCAUGAAAUACUGGGAAUCAGAUCAGUCCAAGGCUUUCUCAGAGGCCCUGAUAGAAGAAGAAAGGGAAUACUAGUUCUCUGUCUUUGCAGACUUGGCAAGUAGAAUCUCUGGGAAGUUUUGCUUCUUGACUGGUUUGCAAAAUAGCAGAGCCUCUUUCAGCGUCUCCUUCCGCUGACAGGAGACCAUCCAGAUGCUGUCAAACACUGGCUGGAACAUGUUUACAUGCGAACAUGUUUCAACCAUAUGGACAUCAGCUAAUGGUGUGGGGGACAGACUACCUUGGGAAGAUGAAUGGAAGAGACAGGCCCGAGUGGUGAGGUUCUUGGGCACACACGCAAGUGUGCUGGGGUCAAGCGGACUUACCCGAUAAGCUGAGGAGCGAGAAGAGCAGCAGCAAGCUGAGGCUGAGGCGCAGCGUCCCCGCUGCGUUGCAGUCCACUUUGGAGUUCUUGCAAGAGCACACCUGCACCCUGAGGUCCGUGAUGUUCGUCAUGGGGGGCUUCCCUGAAUCUGUCACCAUGAUGGGCAGGUUGUAGUUGGCCUUGUUCAGAUUCUGAAGCAGGCUCACGAGGGCGUGGGUGUCUGCAAGACAGGAAGUCCCUGUGAGAGAGGGGAAGCCCUCUGCCAGAUGCAGAGUGAGGUUCUGGGGCCUUGGUGUGCACAGCAGUCGCUGUGUGCAGAUGACCUGUGAUCAUAGGUGUGUCUCAGUGAAAUCUAUUACCAUCAAGCAAGUUCCUUGGUGGCAAUAGCCACAUUUCACAGAGUGGUGACAGGCUGCAUGGGGUGAACCAUUCAGAGACAGGGUCUUCAUUAUGAACAGUUCUGCGGUUUGGUGCUACAACAACCAGCUCUGGCCUUUCCUAAUAGAAAUUUCUGUGUUCCACUGUACAAUACAGUUUUACCCCCUCUACUGCCCCAUCCUAUAACUGGAGCAAAAGUGAAUUCUGGUGAUGAAAGGAUCAGACUAACUCUGUAACCUAUAUGUCUUCUAAAGCCUAUAGUUUUGAGUUUUAGGCCCAGGUUAAGCUAAAGCCUCUUAGUACCUUUCCAGAGAAUGGAGGAAUGUGAGGACAGAUAUAAAAAAGUGAGCAAGCAAUGACCUUCACUCAGCAAAAAGAAUGGCCAGACCCUUUUCUUCCAGAUAGUGUUUCUUAGCAACCAACCCAGAUGGCCUCAGUCCUUCUUCUGAGUAGCCCCUGACCUCUGGCCAAAAGCCUGCAGCCCCGAUCGCCAAGGAUGAGCUAAUCACCCCCACCUCCACCUUUAAUUGCAGCCACAUCCACACUUGGCAGGACUGGCCAAGCUUGAGCACCUAAGACUAACCAAUUAUCUUACUUUAUAGCUUCCUCAUCCAAUCCUGAAUUGCCAAGACUGCAAUCCCUAAAAAUUCCCACACCUUGUCCUUUAAAAACCCAAGGCCUUUGUCUCCCAGUGUCACUCUUUGCUGACCGGCAGGGGUGACGCCAUUGUGCAAUGGUUAAAAUAAACCUCUUGCGAUUUUGCAUCGAUGA